ensembl:lncRNA
UCAAGUAAAUUUGCCACUGGUGCUGCAAUUAAUAGACGCAUUAACAUAAACAUGAGAAUUUGCCUUAGCGUUAGGUCUGUAUUAAAAUACCAAUAAAUAUUAAAAAAGAAAUAAUGACCAGCAGUUGGCAUUUAUAUAGUGUGAAGAGACAUAUACAUUUCUUCAAACGUACACAUGAGGCAUGACAUUUCUUCAGGGUGAGAUUUGUCUACAAAUAACAGCAUGAGUAGAAAUCCCUGAUGUAAGAGUGGAUUACACAUGCACACACUUCAAGAACAGUCAAAAAGCAGAAAUACGAGCUGUUACAAACAGAAACCAGCUUUGCAAUAUUAGGAAUUAAGAAAAUUGGAAGAUUGCUGUUAAUAUUGUUGAACACUCAAGAUCACACAAAGCCAAUACUCACAUAGUUAUUCAGGCCACUGUUUUCCACAAUGCAAACAACUGCUACGAUAAUUUUUUGACAUUGAUUUUGUCAGAUUACUGUAGCAGUUAUUCAACUUAAUCAAUUGCUGGGCAUUUGAAAUUUAUCUUUGCAUCUGAGUGACAAUUUCAGGAUUUUUUACUAUUGCUACAUGAAUGAAGCCAAGGAUAAAUCAGAAAGUAGCAGUAUUCUAGAAAGAUCAUUAGCACAUUGCCAACUAAAAUUUCAGCCAAAGGAUCAAUAUAAUAUCACUGAUCACACUGAUGACAUGAAGGAGGAAUUGUCUCAUUAUUCUCUGUAUUUUGAUUGCAAAUGAUUAUUACCUAUGUUCUUUGUGUCCUGAAAGAUGUCAACAUGUAUAGCUGUGCAAGUAUUAAAGACACAGUAAUAAGUAAAAUAACUUCAGGUGUAUAAGUGAUGUAUCCAGUCUUCUCUAAACUGUAAGGAUUUCACACCCUUUAAUUAUUUUCCUCUGGACUACCAACUUUACCAGUAAGUUAACAGACAACAUAACAGUGUGAGUCUGAACUUUCUACACAAAACCCGACUGUCUGAUGACCAUCCCAAGACAGAGAAGACAGUGAAUUCUGGAAAAAGAAAACUUGCAUGAACCAUCUUAGCAGCUAUGACAUAUAGAAAUACCAGACCACCUACUCCAGUAUUAUAAAGUCUAGGUAGCUCUAAAAGACAAAGUAAAAUGCUGAGAAUCUAUGUAACAUAGAAUCUACGUGCUCAUUUUCACAGUCACCCAUUGUGACUGGUCCAUCUUGGAGGGAGAUGGAGACAAUUACCCAUAAAGCAUAAUGCACAGCAGCAAGAAAUGGUGUAUUUUAUGAUGCUGUUUUUUACAUGCCAGAUUAGGUCUGUCCUUAAGCAUCUACGCUGAGGCAUGAGGCAGACUGAAGUUUAAACAUUCCUGGUCUUACUGAAAGCUCAGGUAAGAACAUAAACAAUCAAGCAGGAACAUGUACAGAGGGUGGAGAAAAAUCACCGUGAUGCAGGCCAGUGAAGAUAAAGCAAUGAAUCACAGAAGAUCUUCCAACAUUCCCUGUAUUACUGCACCACUAUGAUUUCUGUGACACUGAAAGAAGGACCGUUUUGUUAACAGCUAUGGUUGAACAGCUUUGAAACCCUGCAACAUCUGGUCAAGCAAAACUCAGCAAUACUGACAUUGAAUAAAACAAGAAUAAAUGUGCUUCUAUUGUUUCUUCUGUAUUGAUUUUUAGAGUGUUUAAAAGUGCUUUGCAUUCAUGCACUUUUCAAACAGCCGUAGAAAUGGAAACAACAUGGCUCAAAAAGCAGCUGACAGCUUUUAUUGUGCAUUUGCCUCCCAUUUUCCAAUAUGAUUUUGGAAUGUAAAGAAUUUGAGCAAAGAGAGAAGACAAUGCAUUCAUGAGAGACCUGAUUUGUUUUUUAAUUGUG